GACGAACGCUGGCGGCGUGCUUAACACAUGCAAGUCGAACGGUAAGGCUCCAGCUUGCUGGGGUACACGAGUGGCGAACGGGUGAGUAACACGUGGGUGACCUGCCCUGCACUUCGGGAUAAGCCUGGGAAACUGGGUCUAAUACCGGAUAGGACCAUGGUGUGGAUACUGUGGUGGAAAGUUUUUUCGGUGUGGGAUGGGCCCGCGGCCUAUCAGCUUGUUGGUGGGGUAAUGGCCUACCAAGGCGGCGACGGGUAGCCGGCCUGAGAGGGUGGACGGCCACAUUGGGACUGAGACACGGCCCAGACUCCUACGGGAGGCAGCAGUGGGGAAUAUUGCACAAUGGGCGGAAGCCUGAUGCAGCGACGCCGCGUGGGGGAUGACGGCCUUCGGGUUGUAAACGCCUUUCACCAUCGACGAAGGGUUUCUGACGGUAGAUGGAGAAGAAGCACCGGCUAACUACGUG
rnacentral:rRNA from 1 species